rnacentral:miRNA from 1 species
GAAAUAUUUUAGGUAAAGAUACAUUUUUGUGAUAAAACGAGUAGUAUCUGAAAGAUGAAUGUAUGUGUGUAUAUAAGUACACACACGACAUACACACU